AAUGAUAAAAUGAUUUUCAAGUCUGCGGUAGAACUUUGACAGCUGCGUGUGGUGAAGUAAACAUAUCUAUCUAUAAUGAUAAUUGUUUUAGAAUAUUACAUCUAGAUAGAAGAAUGCGUGAUAAUAUUCAUCAGUGCUGUUUCCUUAAUAACCAUUUUACUGACUUCUAUCUAGAUGUAAUAUUCUAAAACAAUUAUCAUUAUAGAUAGAUAUGUUUACUUCACCACACUGCGGUAGAACUUGGCGGCUACCGCAGAACGGAAAAUUUUCAAACGAACCGUAAUAAAAUCAUUUAAACUCAGCAGUCCACGCGCAAGUCAUUGUUAUGAAAGGUUAUGAAAUGGGGCUCUGCACAAAAAUUAGUCGGUCUCUUUCACUCUUUCAUGAAAUUGGUAAACAACAAGGCCAGUAAACGUCAAAAUCCCAUACAAAAUCAAAACAGUGCAGCGACCCAUAGUCGAAAUCAGUGACAGUAUUUGAUAGCAUUUGAUGUUGAUAGCAAAUUUAUUUAUUAAUUCCCUUCGAAUCCAAAAUAGUAAAUAAGAGGGGAUUCUAUAGAGAUUUACAAACUACCGAGAGAGCCCGCCACCCUUCAGAAUUUAAAACGUAAUGUCGUCGAAAAUGUAACGAUUAACAAUUAGUCGGAUUCUCUCUCCUACCAAUUAUGCGUUGAGGUGGUUAAGACUAUUGGAUGAUGAAAUUCUGUGCGUGAGAGUCCCGUUUGGCGUACGAAAAGAUUUUUAAAAGAAACUAUCUGGACAAACAUUUCAAAAGGGCAUA